AGCUAGAGGAAUUGCUCAGCUUGCAUAUUCUGCCUACCAAAUGCUAAUCAGAGACCUCAGAAAUUCCCUUUGGGAUGCAGGAGAGAUGCACAUCAGCACUCCAGAGCCAUACAGGAUGGAAAGAGAGGAAAGUGACAGGUAAGGAACAAGAGAAAUCAAUUACACCUUCAAGGGGAUAAAUUAGCCCUCUGCUAGC
rnacentral:lncRNA from 11 species